rnacentral:lncRNA from 1 species
CAGAUUAUACAUUCUUUGGUUGCUUAUGUCUUUACACAACCAACUUCAUCUUCAACAACAGAUUGAGAAAGGAAACUCUUGGCCAAAGACUAUGUCUAUUUAAACUUUCGCUCUGCCCAUUACGUUCUUUAAUUUUCUUGAGUCUAAAAGGAACUCAUGGAUCUCUUUUAAGAGUUGUAGAUGAAAUUGUUCAAAGACCACUUGGAUCUCCUGGUACUAACUAAAGACGUUUUCCUAAACAUGCAUUACUAAAUCAAUAUCUCAAGAAGACGUUUAGUCGAUCUUUGAAGUAGAGUUCUACAAUAGGGAGGAGUUAUAGACGGUCAAGAAGACCCAAAAGGUCCAAAGCAAGCUUUUUAGUCCUUUAUCAUAUUCUUUUGUUUUAAUCGUCAUCUUCGUUUCAUUAUCUACCAAAAAAGAUUGCUACGUGGUCGUUAUAUUCGUUUUUGUUGUUAAUUGUUGAUGCUUCUGCCUUCUGUUCAUGUGAUCGUUGAAACUUGACAAUAGGUUUCCGAAAAUGGCAGUGUUGUAGAGAACUAAACGGUUAAAAACCCCAAGGUUUGGGAGAGUUCAUGAGUUAACUUGUAAGUUUUGUCUUAUACAACGGAACGGCAGGUUAAAAGACACGUUUUGAUCGCGGAUAUAAAUGUUGCAUUGGUUUUCCAAUUUUGGUGAACUUAUCUAAUGGACAUAUAUAGGUUCAUGGAGUUUGUUCAAAAACAAAAGACAUAGGUUCAUGGAGUAAUAUGGAAGAACCGAACAUCGUUAACUAUCAUGUUAUCUCGAUUAAUAAUUUUUCCACCUAUUGAUCUAGCCUCAUUGAUUUUUUUGACAUGGAUUACAGUUACAAAAACAUUUUUAGAUAUAUUUAAUUAAUACUGCAUGUCAUGAACACUUAUAACAUUGAUGAAAUCAGAAAAUUUUCGUAACUCUUAGUUUAAUAUGGAUGUUACAAUUAUAGUGAAGGAGAGGAAGAUAACAAGAAAGACAUGACAAUGCCAUUGAAUAUUUUGGGCUUUUCCGUGUGGGGAAUAUGUGAUGUCUUUUGUAUCACUUUCAGCGUCGCCUUCUUCCCCAACAUCCUGGUAAAAUAUAUACAUACAUAAUUAAUUACUUCUUUUUCUUUAUUUUUAACCUAUAUAAACACACACGACUAUGAAUAACUCAUUUCUAUAUUCGUUCCAAAUUAGUUCUUAAUCUCGUCUCUUGAUGUCUCUAGCAUAGAAGUUAGCUAUCCGAUUACGUAACUUUACGUUAGAUCAAAAUUCGGACAGAAAUAUCGACUAGAAAAUGAUGUAAUUAACCAUUCGAUUCGAUUGAAACAUCUAUUUCCAUAUUUUUUAAAUGAUAUCAAAACCUUAAAAAUCCAAUUAAAUAAGCUUAUAAAACACAACUUAAAAACUAGAAUCAAAGUUUUGUUUACUGGAAUCAGCUGUGCUCGUAGUUACAAAAAAGAAGUAAAUCUUAAAAUUUGAAUAGCAAAAAUGUUUAAGCAAAACCACUUUAAAAGUUCUAUAUCAUAAGUUCAUAACCACAUAAUUUCAUAUUUACCAAGCAAAAAAACGAACUGGAUCAUAUAGUUGUACGUAAUUGCUUGGAUUAUUCCAUUCAAACGGAUUUUACAUCUUGGAUCUACUAAUUAAGCGUAGUGACGCCACUAGCGGUAAUAUCUUAAAACCAUUUGGAACUCGAUCAAAAAUAUUAAUUUGAGUAAUUAAGAAAUUAAAAGAAAUGAAGCAAUGAAAAAUCAAAACCCUAUGCUAUUUAUAUAUUAUGAUACGAUAUAUAUAUAUAUAUAUAUAUAUAUAUAUGAAUUAUGAAGUAGUAGGGUCUUACUCUUUAAGGUCAUAGGCCAUUUUCAAAGGAAAAACCUGAUCUUGCUCCCCCCAUAUCAGCAUUACAUCCUGCAUGAUUCAUGCUUACUUCAUUAUUUAUCAGGUAUUUAAUUUUUAUGAAUCAAAUAAAUUAAAAAUUUCUUAUUGUGUCACUUAUUAAUGCAAGUUCUUAUCAUGCAGUUUUUUUUUCGUAGUCACUUAUUCAUUAAAAAAACUACCCCAAAAAACACAAACUAAUCAUAUUGUUAACAUUCGAGGGCAACUGAGGUCUGAAUUAUGACAAACGUUGGUUUCUACAUUCCCGCUUACAUGUGAAGAAAACACAAAUUCAUAAAUAUCUUUGAAAAAUGCAAAUGUAAAUGUAAAUGUUCGCAAAUAUAAAGAUUCCGCACGUUUGCAUUUGGCGUUUACAUUACGAAUUAACAAAAACAAAUUUUUAAAAAAAGUUGUUGCACAUUUUAACAAAAUAUACACUAACUAUAAAUUUAAACGCAAACAAACAAUCUAAUUCUGAAACGAUUGAAUUUUUUUUUUACAUAUGUUAGUAAGAUGUCAUAAAUUCUUAGCCAUAUAUACAAGUAAUAUUAAUGAUAGCGUAAAAACCAAAAAAUACUAAUAAUGGUGAUAGCGAUUAGCGAACCUGUUGAACUGGAGAAACGUUUGAUUUUUCGUCCCUCCCAAUACUUAGCCCCUCCAGAAGUUCUGCUUUUUCCUCUCUCUUCUCCGAAUACAUUUUCUGUGUGUUUUCCCAAUUUUCAAAUAUCAUAUUAUCAAUCAUGCAAAGCCAAACUCUUCUUUUCAAUAGCGAUAUAAUAUUUAUUUAAUGUUGGGAGCGCAAUACUACGUAUACCGUUCUUUCUUUCCCCAAUCCUACACAAGCUUUUACUAUAACCAACUGAAAGUGACAACUUUCGCUGCCUUCUUUUAUCAAUCACUCAUUUUAAAUAUAAGCUAGUGGAGUGCAUCUUUAUGCUCCACUAUAUUUUCGUGUUAAUUUAUAAUAAGUUUUAAUAAGUGUGUUGUCAAUAUAUAUGUUUCCAAAAAGAAUGUAGCCCCCAAAGGAUCAUUAAUUGUAGAUUAUAUAUUCAUUGAAAUUGAAAUUCUAUGAUCAUUGUAGACGCUUUAAAUGGCAAUAAUACUUGGCGUUAGACUAGUUUGAGUAUCAGCAAUACGAUUCCCGUGAUUAACUUUAAAAAAAAAUAUCUUUCAAAAUGAUAAAGAGACACUUUUAUAAAAUAGGUGGAGACGUAAAGUAAUUAAUUACGAAUCUUUACUAAUAUUAUCCAUUACCUAAAGUAACGUUGUGCAUUCGGAUUUCGGAUGCAUAACUUAUAGGUUAUCAAAUAUUUUGAAACUUUGUUAUAAGACUAAAAAGAGGGUUUAAAACUGUUGAAGGGACUUUUUGUUUUUCUUCCAAGAAUACAAAAAAAAAAGAUGUAAAAAUACC